UUCAGUUUGUUUCGACUCAAGUCCGAUCGACUCGGCCGGAAGCCCACCGAAGGCCCUAAAGCCUGUGUGUUUUGGGGCAGCAGUCGCGGGUCGCCGCCAAGUUCCUCCAAGAGAGGGAGAAGGCCCACGGGAACCCGCAAGGUGGCCAUUCAACUGGAUCGAGGGCGCCAACCCUCCAGCUUGCCGCCUCUGCCUUUCGCAACCUCGUCGACGACUCCUUUGAUCCCGUCGAACACCGGGCCGGACGGUGGUUGAUUGAUGCUUUGGGUAUUCAUGGUCGAGCAUGAGCUUGCAUUACUUGUCUAUCACUGAGUUCAAACUCACUCUUUUCUACAUUUAUGAUUAAUUUCCAACAGAAGCUGAUGAAGGGAGCCCAUUUUAGUCCUCGAUGCCUCUUAUAUUGAUUGCAUAAACCAACAUGCACUGUGAAGAUGAAGACUAGGAGGAAGAAGAACAAAACCAUGCUGAUUUUGGGAGUGUUGGGGGUCGGAUCAUUUAGAUCAGUAUAGAGGGGAAGGCAAAUUAAAUUUGAUAUGAGCGCGUGGUAGUCACAGAAACUAAGAAUCAGACUCUUCAUCUCCAGGCUCGCUGGUCUCCUUGGGAUGACCUUUGUCCAUUUUAAACAUCAUACAUACUUCUUGGGAGUCCUCAUUCUUUUCUGUUGUAACUUCUAGCUAUUACCUUGUACACAGAUGUUACUGUAUGAAUAGUCUCUUAUUAAUUAAGAAAGGAAGAAUUCGUAGCUUUCUUUAGUUAUACAUAGUGUUGGAAAAUCAUCAUUGCUCUCACAUAAAGAGGGGAAUGGCAAUUCAUUGUUAUUUUCUGAGCUUUGAUGUCUUUUUGCUUCUUUCAGUCUCAU